UGCCAGACUUUGUCGAACGCUUUUGCGAC
rnacentral:sRNA from 1 species